CAAAGCACAGGACGCAGGUAGACCACUGCAGCAAAAACCGCGUCCGCGUACAAUAGCGAGCGUCCAACUCCAACCCACCACCGCUUCCCCCGUUCCCCACCCCGACCGACUGCUCCUCCUCCCCCGCGCCAUCCUCAAGGCAUCGCCGGCGCCGCAACUUCGCCGAGGAGGAAGCCCGCACCCCAGCCCCGAUCCGAUGGCCAACAGCAACCUCCCGCGGCGGAUCAUCAAGGAGACGCAGCGGCUGCUCAGCGAGCCAGCACCGGAGAUCGG